GGGGCUGAUUAUGGAUUUGACGGAAUUUGAAUAAUAUAUGAGGCAUGUCGAGGUAAGAUUGGACUCGUAAAAUAUCUUAAUUAAAUAGUUGCAAAUUAUAAAAAAUAUGAACCUGUUGCUUUAGCAGCAUAAUUGGAUUAAAAACCAAGGGUUCCUUUGUUUUUCUUGUUUGUCUUUCUCUUUAGAUUAAGGAAGCAAAGUCAUUUGAAUAUAAGAGAAUGCAUGAGUAUUUUCCUAAGAUACGAAUGUUAUUAUUUUAUUUAGGAGAACUAUUAAUGCAAAUCAUUGUGAUUUCUUAAUAGUAUAAGUGUAGUUGUUUGUAAUGAAUAAACAUGUAAAUCCUUAGAUAUUUGUAGAUUUUCGGACGCGGGUUCGAAUCCCGCCAGCUCCA
rnacentral:tmRNA from 1 species